UGUGUACUCCCUCCGUUCCAAAAUACUUGACUUCCAUUUGUCCAAAAAUGGAUGUACCUAUAUACUAAAACAUGUCUAGAUACAUCUAUAUUUUGACAAAUAGAAGGCAUGUAUUGUGCAAUGGAGGGAGUAGAAU
rnacentral:pre_miRNA from 1 species